AUGGAGAACUCGGCGGCGGCGGUGGGGGUGGAGAAGGAGGACGAGCUGGUGGGGGGCGGCGGGGGCGACUGGGGGUACCUCACGUCGGAGGCGAUGGCGACGGCCGGGUUCCCGGCGUUCGGGUUCCCCUGCGGCGCCAGGGGCGGCGUCACGCCCGCGCCGACCUCGGCGUCGCUGCUCAUGUCCAUGGAGCACGCCGCGCUGUUCGACUACAACGCCGCCUUCCCGUCGUCGUCGUCCUCCGCCGCCGCCGCGCCCCCGGCCUACCACGACUUCGGGUCCGGCGGCAACCCCUUCAACGUCGACGCCCCGCCGUUCCUUCUCGAGGCCCCGCCGCCGCUGACGGUGGCGCCGGGAGGGCAGAAAGGGGGGUUCUUGGCGCCCCCGCUGUCGGCGUUCGGCGAUGGCAUGGGGUGGGACGACGAGGACGAGCUGGAUCAGCAGAGCGUGGACGCCUCCUCCUUGGGGGUCUCGGCCUCGCUGGAGAAUGCCGUGGUCGGCGCGCCGGGGGGAGGUGGCGGCGGCGGCGGCGGCAACGGCAAGGGCAAGAAGAAGGGGAUGCCGGCCAAGAACCUGAUGGCGGAGCGGCGGCGCAGGAAGAAGCUCAACGACCGCCUCUACAUGCUGCGCUCCGUGGUGCCCAAGAUCAGCAAGAUGGAUAGGGCUUCAAUCCUUGGUGAUGCAAUCGACUACCUGAAGGAGCUCCUGCAGAGGAUUAGCGAUCUCCACUCCGAGCUCGAGUCUGCUCCCAGCUCUGCCGCACUCGGUGGACCAUCGACAGCUAAUAGCUUCCUCCCGUCGACGCCCACCCUGCAGCCGUUCCCCGGCCGCAUCAAGGAGGAGCGGUGCCCGCCGGCCCCUUUCCCUAGCCCCAGCGGCCAGCAGGCGACGGUGGAGGUGAGGAUGAGGGAGGGGCAGGCGGUGAACAUCCACAUGUUCUGCGCGCGCAGGCCGGGCAUCCUGCUGUCCACCAUGAGGGCGCUGGACAGCCUCGGCCUCGACAUCGAGCAGGCCGUCAUCAGCUGCUUCGAUGGCUUCGCCAUGGACGUCUUCCGCGCCGAGCAAUGCAGGGAGGGCCCUGGGCUCCUGCCGGAGGAAAUUAAGGCCGUGCUCCUGCACUGCGCCGGUCUCCAGAACGCGAUGUAG
rnacentral:rRNA from 1 species